rnacentral:lncRNA from 1 species
UACAUCUUAUUCCUCAUUACUUAACGGAUGGAGAUAAAUUCCAAUACUAUUCUACAGUUUCUCAAUUUCAUUUAUACUAUACUGAUUUCUCCACAUCAGUCUCUACGAACACUUUGUUCGUGUUUCCAAUCUCAAUUCGUCAUCGAUGCUUAUUUUAAUAAUUCUGACUCAUUAAUCCAUAGGACCGAGCCUUCGCUCUCACAGUCCCAAUACACUAUCCUUCACUUGGACAUGCACAUGGGUAAACUAUUUGUCUCAAUUACCUCAAAUCUGUUCAACUUAACUCAACGUCUCUCGCUCGCAAGCGUAAACCCAAUUAUCACGAAGCAAAGUUCUCAUUUG